ACAGCAGCCGCCACGGGAAUACGUAUGUUGCAAGCGUUAAUCGGAAUUACUGGGCGUAAAGCGUGCGCAGGCGGUUAUAUAAGUCAGAUGUGAAAUCCCCGGGCUCAACCUGGGAACUGCAUUUGAGACUGUAUGGCUAGAGUGUGUCAGAGGGGGGUAGAGUUCCACGUGUAGCAGUGAAAUGCGCAGAUAUGUGGAGGAAUACCGAUGGCGAAGGCAGCCCCCUGGGAUAACACUGACGCUCACGCAGGAAAGCGUGGGGAGCAAACAGGAUUAGAUACCCGAGUAGUCCCUGUCUCUUAUAC
rnacentral:rRNA from 1 species